CGUGUUGGAAGCCACCAUGUUCGGGACGAUGUGUUACAGCAGCCGGGGGAAGCUCACACUGCCGUGUUGGUUGGAUACCUGGGUGUUUCCCGUUUCUUGCUCUCCAGUGCUGCUGUGAGUUUUCUGCUGUGCAGGUCCUGCUGCAAACGGAGGAGCUGCAGAAGGAAGCUGAUCCCCCGAAACCCUUCAUGGGCUGAGAGUCAAACGAUGGACAAACACUCCCGGGACAAAGGAAUGAACACGCUUCACAGUUAAACUUUAACUAGUUUAACUCAACUAAACUUUAGCUCAUUCCUAAGAUUUAAAGCAACAGAACACAUCACGGAGACAAAGACGGAAGGUUUGGACCCUUAGCGAUAGUUUAAUCUCCAAAUGUAUAAGGGAUGCUGAGAAAAGCGACCUACGAAAAAUAUGUGUGGAGGAUCUCAUUUUAUAAAAUAGAGAAAUCCAAGAGCUCCCUACAGGGUAUAUGAUAACA